rnacentral:rRNA from 1 species
AACGAACGCUGGCGGCAUGCCUAACACAUGCAAGUCGAACGAGACCUUCGGGUCUAGUGGCGCACGGGUGCGUAACGCGUGGGAAUCUGCCCCUUGGUUCGGAAUAACAGUUAGAAAUGACUGCUAAUACCGGAUGAUGACGAAAGUCCAAAGAUUUAUCGCCGAGGGAUGAGCCCGCGUAGGAUUAGCUAGUUGGUGAGGUAAAGGCUCACCAAGGCGACGAUCCUUAGCUGGUCUGAGAGGAUGAUCAGCCACACUGGGACUGAGACACGGCCCAGACUCCUACGGGAGGCAGCAGUGGGGAAUAUUGGACAAUGGGCGAAAGGCCUGAUCCAGCAAUGCCGCGUGAGUGAUGAAGGCCUUAGGGUCGUAAAGCUCUUUUACCAGGGAUGAUAAUGACAGUACCUGGAGAAUAAGCUCCGGCUAACUCCGUGCCAGCAGCCGCGGUAAGAGUGUGUGUA